CCGGCGACCGGCGCACGGGUGAGUAACACGUAUGCAACCUGGCCGUGACAGAUGGAUAACCGGGGAGAAAUCCCGCCUAAUACAACAUAAUGCCGGGAGGGGACAUCCCCUGCCGGUCAAAGGGGGCGACCCCGGUCAUGGAUGGGCAUGCGGCGCAUUAGGUAGUUGGUGGGGCAACGGCCCACCAAGCCGACGAUGCGUAGGGGUUCUGAGAGGAAGGUCCCCCACAUUGGAACUGAGACACGGUCCAAACUCCUACGGGAGGCAGCAG
rnacentral:rRNA from 1 species